UACGGGGGGAGCAAGCGUUGUUCGGAUUUACUGGGCGUAAAGGGCGCGUAGGCGGCCACCGCAAGUCGAUUGUGAAAUCUCCGGGCUUAACCCGGAAAGGUCAACCGAUACUGCGGGGCUAGAGUGCAGAAGGGGCAACUGGAAUUCUCGGUGUAGCGGUGAAAUGCGUAGAUAUCGAGAGGACACCUGCGGCGAAGGCGGGUUGCUGGGCUGACACUGACGCUGAUGUGCGAAAGCUAGGGGAGCGAACGGG
rnacentral:rRNA from 1 species